rnacentral:lncRNA from 1 species
AUGAGCACCUUGAGCUCGAGCGCUGCCGACUGCAGGGUGGCUGGAGUUGGGUGUUCUGCUCACAGGCAGAAGAAAACCACUUCAAGACAUCAAGAAGAGCCAACUGAGCCUAAUCCCAUUUUCCCUAGGACCUGGCAGCCAUUCAGGACUGCUUCUAUUGUAUUUACGUGGAAUUUGGUCACCUGUGGCUUCAGGCAGCCCAAAUCUCUCAGGAUGUGCAGGACAGGGAUGUGUUCCCGUUUCACACGAGGCCUCACGCUGAGGCUCCACAGUUGGCAUCAGUGCCCAAGAGCAGAUCUACAGUAUGAAUGUCCUUCCUGGAGGUAUUUCUGCAGAUGUGGAAGAAGGACCAACCCAGCUGAUUGUGGGGGAUUACAGCUAUUAACCAGGUUGCCAUGUGCCUUUAUUGUAAUUAUUGAAAGGAGUUAGGAGGAAGCAUGGACAAUGUCUCCUGUGCUUCUC